rnacentral:rRNA from 1 species
CGGCAGGCCUAACACAUGCAAGUCGAACGGUAACAGGAAGAAGCUUGCUUCUUUGCUGACGAGUGGCGGACGGGUGAGUAAUGUCUGGGAAACUGCCUGAUGGAGGGGGAUAACUACUGGAAACGGUAGCUAAUACCGCAUAACGUCGCAAGACCAAAGAGGGGGACCUUCGGGCCUCUUGCCAUCGGAUGUGCCCAGAUGGGAUUAGCUUGUUGGUGGGGUAACGGCUCACCAAGGCGACGAUCCCUAGCUGGUCUGAGAGGAUGACCAGCCACACUGGAACUGAGACACGGUCCAGACUCCUACGGGAGGCAGCAGUGGGGAAUAUUGCACAAUGGGCGCAAGCCUGAUGCAGCCAUGCCGCGUGUAUGAAGAAGGCCUUCGGGUUGUAAAGUACUUUCAGCGGGGAGGAAGGGAGUAAAGUUAAUACCUUUGCUCAUUGACGUUACCCGCAGAAGAAGCACCGGCUAACUCCGUGCCAGCAGCCGCGGUAAUACGGAGGGUGCAAGCGUUAAUCGGAAUUACUGGGCGUAAAGCGCACGCAGGCGGUUUGUUAAGUCAGAUGUGAAAUCCCCGGGCUCAACCUGGGAACUGCAUCUGAUACUGGCAAGCUUGAGUCUCGUAGAGGGGGGUAGAAUUCCAGGUGUAGCGGUGAAAUGCGUAGAGAUCUGGAGGAAUACCGGUGGCGAAGGCGGCCCCCUGGACGAAGACUGACGCUCAGGUGCGAAAGCGUGGGGAGCAAACAGGAUUAGAUACCCUGGUAGUCCACGCCGUAAACGAUGUCGACUUGGAGGUUGUGCCCUUGAGGCGUGGCUUCCGGAGCUAACGCGUUAAGUCGACCGCCUGGGGAGUACGGCCGCAAGGUUAAAACUCAAAUGAAUUGACGGGGGCCCGCACAAGCGGUGGAGCAUGUGGUUUAAUUCGAUGCAACGCGAAGAACCUUACCUGGUCUUGACAUCCACAGAACUUUCCAGAGAUGGAUUGGUGCCUUCGGGAACUGUGAGACAGGUGCUGCAUGGCUGUCGUCAGCUCGUGUUGUGAAAUGUUGGGUUAAGUCCCGCAACGAGCGCAACCCUUAUCCUUUGUUGCCAGCGGUCCGGCCGGGAACUCAAAGGAGACUGCCAGUGAUAAACUGGAGGAAGGUGGGGAUGACGCCAAGUCAUCAUGGCCCUUACGACCAGGGCUACACACGUGCUACAAUGGCGCAUACAAAGAGAAGCGACCUCGCGAGAGCAAGCGGACCUCAUAAAGUGCGUCGUAGUCCGGAUUGGAGUCUGCAACUCGACUCCAUGAAGUCGGAAUCGCUAGUAAUCGUGGAUCAGAAUGCCACGGUGAAUACGUUCCCGGGCCUUGUACACACCGCCCGUCACACCAUGGGAGUGGGUUGCAAAAGAAGUAGGUAGCUUAACCUUCGGGAGGGCGCUUACCACUUUGUGAUUCAUGACUGGGGUGAAGU